UGCUGAUUGUAGCGUGAUAAAGGAAAUGGACAAAACUAAAACACGUUUCAAUUUCCCAUCACAAAGGCCUUUAUUGCCGUUGUUUCAAUAAAAUAUAGGCUACAUUACAAACUCACCAUAAAAAUAACAGGGGUACUUCCGCCGUGCAUGCAAACGGCCAGAAUACAGUGAUAAACAUUAGCUCCAAACAAUACGUCAGACACCAAGACACAUCAACACAGACAGAUGAUGGAUUGCAGUAGUAAGGUUUGCAUAGGUUCAAAAGAAGAAUACUGAUAACCUUAUAGUUCAAACCAAGGGAAAUUCACUUCCUCCACUCCACAUAUGAGUAAAAUGAACUUGAUCUAAACUAUUUCAGAUGUAUAACGUUUCACAGUGAGAGAGAAAGCUGUGUAUCAAACAUGACUGGGGAUGGAGAACAUCUUGGUUAGUAGCAAUUCACAGGAAUACGUGUAAAGUCAUAAGAGACAUACCAAACCAAACCAUGCCUCUUUUCCUAGCUCAAUAUUACAAUCAUUAGUCACUCCUUUCAGAUGUUUCAGAUACUUCAAAGUGUAUUUUGUCUUUAGUGGCAUGCAUGCAACUCUUUAGUCUAAAGAUCCCCUCAGCUUAGCCCCAGAACAUACUAUCCAGUAUGAUUUGACUGCUCGAGACUAUUAGCACAUGUUGAUCAACCUACCAUAACAUCCCUUCACAGCUUAGACCUCUUAUGUGUUCAUUUCAGUAUGAACUCUAAACAUAAGGCAAUGGAACCAUCUUUAGUUACACCUUAUACAAUAACCCUAUCAUUCCUGGGACCCCGCCCACAUUUUGGCCUAAGGUUCAGUGGCGUUCCGCAGUUUUAAAGGAAAUUUCCUGAAAUUCUAUUUUGUUCAGAUUGUUUUUAGAUUACUUUCUAGUUCUGAGUUGGGUAUCCAUCCACCGCUUGCAAUCCUGUUUUUGAAAUGCUAUUACAUGACAUAAUAUGGUAGCAGAAAGACAUUCAAUAUGCGACACAUAAAACAGAUAAACAUCAGCGAGUGCUCAUAAAAUGUGGUUAUAUUUCCCUAUAUUGGAUCACUCCGAUAUAUUGGUAUCACUCCGCGGCGGAGGGAUACAUCCGAGGUGAGGAUUUACAGAUUUACUCCCGUGUACACCUGUGUCACGGCUGGGGUCCGCCCCUGUAUAUAGACCCCAUGGCCACGACACAUUCUCUUUCAUUUUCUCGGCAGACGUCCGUAUGGUUUGAGGUACAAACUUUCUGAAGUUCGCUUGGUAAAUCACUGGUAAGUGUAAUAUCUUGCGUGAAAGUAUACUCACUGGCUGUUUUGCAGCCUGGAGCAGUUGGCCACAUGGCCAGCCCCUCCUCUUGAGUGCUCCACUUGCUGCGCAUGGUUGAUCUGUAUCUUCCGCCCGUGGUUUGUCAUGCUUGUGUUUUGUUAGCGUUACACUACGACUCCGUGGCCCUGCGGUCUUUCCUUCCACAUCUGAAAGGAAGACAUGUCCUGGUGAGAAAGGACAACACCACAGUGGUGGCUUACAUCAACCAUCAGGGUGGACUGAGGUCCCACCGCCUCAAUCUUAUAGCAUGGGAGCUCUGGGCUGUCUAGCAUCUCUAUGCGCAGCGCACGUACCUGACAUCCUGAGUGUGGCAGCGGAUAUGCUCUCUAGGGAGGGCCAACCAUCUUGGGACUGGAGCCUACAUCCCCAGGUGGUGCAGCACCUGUGGGACAAGUUCGGGAGGGUGCAGGUGGAUCUGUUUGCCUCUCUGGACAAUGCACACUGCCCCUGUGGUACUCCAUGUCAGAGACACCAGGGCCUCUUGGCUUGGAUGCUCUGGCUCACGAUUGGCCAGGGCUGGAGCUUUACACAUUCCCCCCUUUUCCCCUGAUCCAGGCUGUGCUGGACAGGACCAGGAUGGCAGAGCAUUGUCUGCUUCUGGUGGCCCCAUACUGGCCCAGACAACCCUUGUUCAGCCUUUUCCUGUCCCUGUUGUCUGGGACAUCUUGACAACUUCCCCUGAGACCGGACUUGCUGUCUCAGGCCAGGGGAACUCUGUGACCAUCCGAGGCCGCACCGCCUCAGUCUGUGGGCUUGGCCACUAAACGGCACCAAGGAUCCAUGUUAGGACUACAGGAGGGAGUAAUGAACACCAUGCAGAACGCAAGGGCGCCGGCUACAACCGCGGCAUACCAGUUGUGCUGGCGGUUGUUCUGCUCUUGGUGCACUGGUAUUGAGGUUGUGCCCGAGUCGUGCGGGGUGCAGUAUGUCCUCCAAUACCUGCAGUCUCUCUUGGAUGAGGGCUUGGCAGCCUCUACACUGAGCAGGUAUUUAGCCACUAUAUCUGCCUGCCAUGUGGGGUGGAUGGACAGGCCAGUGGGGCGCCAUCCCUUGGUCUCCAGGUUUAUGAAGGGUGUUUGUCACCUGCGUCCAACUAGGACCCACUCAAUGGCAAGCUGGGAUCUGGAUGUGGUCUUGGCAGCUUUGGCAAAGCUGGCUUUCGAACCGUUGGAGUCUGCCUCCCUGAAACACCUCUCUAUGAAGGUGGCUUUCUUGAAGAGGUGGGUGAGCUCUAUGCUCUUCCUGUAAGUUCUGAGUGCUACCGGGUGGACCCCGAGGGGAGGAGUAUAUCUCUCCACCCCAACCCUUCAUUCCUCCCGAAGGAUAUGUCAGACAGGCAUGUGAACAUCCCUUUUAUCCUGUCUGCUUACGAUCCCCCUGCAGUGGUGGGGGAGUCUGGGCCUCCCUCUGGCAUGCUGUGCCCUGUGAGGGCACUGGUUGCCUAUGUGGAGGACACAGUGAGUGAGAACAACAGACCAGCUCUUUGUCUGCUAUGGUGAGAGAGUCCUGUGGGCUGGGCUGUCAAAGCAGAGGCUCUCUCACUGGAUCGUGGACACGAUUACGACAGCAUACCACCUGGAUGGCAUGCCAGUGCUGGGAUCUGUGAUGGCACAUUCAACAUGAGGUGUGGCUGCGUCCUUGGCUCUAUUGAGAGGAGUUCCCCUCGCUGAGAUCUGUGUUGCGGCCAGCUGGGCUUCUUCUUGCACAUUUUGCUAGGUACUAUCGGGUACAUGUGGCAUCUCCCUCUGCGGUUGGUUUAGCGGUCCUGGGCGUCGCCUCCCCUUCCGGGGACAGGGCCGGGACCCCGUUCCACAUUGACAGUCCCUGCGUCUCGGUCUCGCACUUCGCCGCUGGCUGGCCGGGUCCCUCUAGCACCGACUAAUCUGGUACGUGUAUACCAAUAUAUUGGAGUGAUCCAAUAUAAUGAAACAUAAUGACGGUUAUGCAUGUAACCACGGUUAUGUGAGCUAUAUGGAUCACUCCAAUCCUCUACGGUGCUAGAGGCGCCUCAAAAAAUGUAUAGAGAACGUGUCGCGGCCAUGGGGUCUAUAUACAGGGGCGGACCCCAGCCGUGACACAGGUGUACACGGGAGUAAAUCUGUAAAUCCUUCAGCUUGCAUGUAUCCCUCCGGCGCGGAGUGAUACCAAUAUAUUGGAGUGAUCCAUAUAGCUCACAUUGUGUUGACAAACCCUAUACUGUCUGUUUCUGGAUGCCUUUCAUCCUUCCCCUAUAAAACAUCUUUACCUCCAUGACAUAUUCACAAAUUGAACUGUUAUGAUUGAAACAAUUCAUGAGUGAAAUCAUACUGUACUACAUGUACACUUAUUGAGAGAAUAUUUACAGUUAACAGAAAUCAUAAGCAAAAGCUACAUGAGGAAAAAUAACCAUUAUAUUUCA
rnacentral:lncRNA from 1 species